rnacentral:rRNA from 1 species
GAUGAACGCUGGCGGCGUGCCUAAUACAUGCAAGUAGAACGCUGAAGGAGGAGCUUGCUCUUCUGGAUGAGUUGCGAACGGGUGAGUAACGCGUAGGUAACCUGCCUGGUAGCGGGGGAUAACUCUUGGAAACGAUAGCUAAUACCGCAUGACAACAGUUAUUGCAUGAUAACUGUUUAAAAGGGGCAACUGCUCCACUACCAGAUGGACCUGCGUUGUAUUAGCUAGUUGGUGAGGUAACGGCUCACCAAGGCGACGAUACAUAGCCGACCUGAGAGGGUGGUCGGCCACACUGGGACUGAGACACGGCCCAGACUCCUACGGGAGGGAGCAGUAGGGAAUCUUCGGCAAUGGACGGAAGUCUGAGCGAGCAACGCCGCGUGAGUGAAGAAGGUUUUCGGAUCGGAAAGCUCGGUUGUAAGGGAAGAACGAGUGUGAGAGUGGAAAGUUCACACUGUGACGGUAUCUGACCAGAAAGGGACGGCUAACUACGUG